rnacentral:piRNA from 1 species
UGGGUAACACAAACACCCAGGCAGACUGAC